AGUGAACGCUGGCGGCAGGCCUAAUACAUGCAAGUCGAGCGACCACACGAUAAGCGUUCUCCUCUAACGGUGGCGACGGACGGAUGAGUAACACAUAGAUAACCUACCUAUAAUUCUUGGGGAACUUCGUGAAGACACUGCUGAUACCGCAUAAUAUGUUCUACCGCAUAAAUCAAUAGUUAAAGACACUUUGCCUGUCACUUAGAGCUGAAUCCGCGCCGCAUUAGCUAGUUGGUAAGGUAACGGCUUACCAAGGCAACGAUGCGUAGCCGACCUGAGAGGGUGAUCGGCCACACUGGAACUGAGACACGGUCCAGACUCCUACGGGAGGCAGCAGUAGGGAAUAUUCCGCAAUGGGCGCAAGCCUGAUGGAGCAACGCCGCGUGAGUGAUGAAGGUCUUCGGAUUGUAAAACUCUGUUAUUAGGGAAGAAAAAAAGUGUAAGUAACUAUGCACGUUUUGACGGUACCUAAACAGAAAGCAACGGCUAACUACGUG
rnacentral:rRNA from 1 species